UUCCGGUUGAUCCUGCCGGACCCGACUGCUAUCGGAUUGAGAUUUAGCCAUGCGAGUUGAACGUCUUCUGACUGCAGGAGGCGUAGCAUACGGCUCAGUAACACGUAGUCAACCUGCCCUGGAGACGCGGAUAACCCCGGGAAACUGGGAUUAAUCCACGAUAGGUCACCUCAUCUGGAAGGAGAGAUGGCCCAAAGGGGAAUUGUGAGCAUGUUUCACUACUCUCGCUCCAGGAUGGGACUGCGGCCGAUCAGGCUGUUGGCGGGGUAAAGGCCCACCAAACCUGUAACCGGUACGGGCUUUGAGAGAAGGAGCCCGGAGAUGGACACUGAGACAAGGGUCCAGGUCCUACGGGGCGCAGCAGGCGCGAAACCUUCGCAAUGCGCGAAAGCGUGACGAGGUUAGUCCGAGUGGCUUCCGCUGAGGAGGUCUUUUGCUGGCUCUAAAAAGGCUGGAGAAUAAGGGGAGGGCAAGCCUGGUGUCAGCCGCCGCGGUAAUACCAGCUCCUCGAGUGGUCGGGGCGAUUAUUGGGCCUAAAGCAUCCGUAGCCGGUUCAGUAGGUCUUCUGCAAAAUCCAAUCGCUUAACGAUUGGCCCGCAGGAGAUACCGCUGGACUAGGAGGCGGGAGAGGUGGACGGUACUCCACGGGUAGGGGUAAAAUCCUUUGAUCCGUGGAAGACCACCAGUGGCGAAGGCGGUCCACCAGAACGCGCUCGACGGUGAGGGAUGAAAGCUGGGGGAGCGAACCGGAUUAGAUACCCGGGUAGUCCCAGCCGUAAACGAUGCGAGCUAGAUGAUCCAAUCGCAAAUCGCGAUUGGAGUGUCGCAGGGAAGCCGUUAAGCUCGCCGCCUGGGGAGUACGGUCGCAAGGCUGAAACUUAAAGGAAUUGGCGGGGGAGCA
rnacentral:rRNA from 1 species